rnacentral:lncRNA from 10 species
GAACUUGCGGAACCCCGGCUGGCAGCCAGCAUGUCCCCGCACCUUUUCAUCUGUCCGCUGACGCUGCCCUGGCAGCUUCAGAGUUAGUGCUAGAGCACAGUGCUGCCGCCGCAGCCCAGAACUCAGUGAGGAAGGGGGCCGCACAAAGGGCUUCAGAGGAAUGGAGACCGCGCCUCCAGGUGGGAGUGAUGGCUCAGACCCCUACCGGAAUCUAGCCAGUGUUUCAGCUCGGCUCCUUGUCUAUACCUCGCUUUCUUCGCCUAUAAGAUGGAUUAACAAAUCACGAAGUUGAGAAUUAGAAUGUGAGCUCGAACGUUGACUAAUUAAGGGCUUUUUUUCCUCGAGGGCUUGACUCGGCAGGUACUAUGCCUGGCACAUGGUA